AUGUCUCCUGUAGUUCCCUUGAACGCUUCAGUAGUUGGGUUAAUUAAGACCCUUUAGAAGUUGGCACUAUGUAGUCCAACCCCACUGAAGUGUUUGGGGGAACUCCUGGUGCCAU
rnacentral:pre_miRNA from 1 species